AAUUAGAUCGUAAAUAUAGUAAAAACUGGGACGAUACAGAGAAGAUUAGUAUGGCUCCUGCACAAGGAUGACACGCACAUUCGUGAAACGUUCCCUAUUUUA